rnacentral:rRNA from 1 species
AUGAACGCUAGCGACAGGCCUAACACAUGCAAGUCGAGGGGCAGCGGGGAGGUAGCAAUACCUUUGCCGGCGACCGGCGCACGGGUGAGUAACACGUAUGCAAUCCACCUGUAACAGGGGGAUAACCCGGAGAAAUCCGGACUAAUACCCCAUAAUAUGGGCUCUCCGCAUGGAGGGUUCAUUAAAGAGAGCAAUUUUGGUUACAGACGAGCAUGCGCUCCAUUAGCCAGUUGGCGGGGUAACGGCCCACCAAAGCGACGAUGGAUAGGGGUUCUGAGAGGAAGGUCCCCCACAUUGGAACUGAGACACGGUCCAAACUCCUACGGGAGGCAGCAGUGAGGAAUAUUGGUCAAUGGUCGGCAGACUGAACCAGCCAAGUCGCGUGAGGGAAGACGGCCCUACGGGUUGUAAACCUCUUUUGUCGGAGAGUAAAGUACGCUACGUGUAGCGUAUUGCAAGUAUCCGAAGAAAAAGCAUCGGCUAACUCCGUGCCAGCAGCCGCGGUAAUACGGAGGAUGCGAGCGUUAUCCGGAUUUAUUGGGUUUAAAGGGUGCGUAGGCGGCACGCCAAGUCAGCGGUGAAAUUUUCGGGCUCAACCCGGACUGUGCCGUUGAAACUGGCGAGCUAGAGUGCACAAGAGGCAGGCGGAAUGCGUGGUGUAGCGGUGAAAUGCAUAGAUAUCACGCAGAACCCCGAUUGCGAAGGCAGCCUGCUAGGGUGCGACAGACGCUGAGGCACGAAAGCGUGGGUAUCGAACAGGAUUAGAUACCCUGGUAGUCCACGCAGUAAACGAUGAAUACUAACUGUUUGCGAUACAAUGUAAGCGGUACAGCGAAAGCGUUAAGUAUUCCACCUGGGGAGUACGCCGGCAACGGUGAAACUCAAAGGAAUUGACGGGGGCCCGCACAAGCGGUGGAGUAUGUGGUUUAAUUCGACGCAACGCGAAGAACCUUACCAGGCCUUGACAUGGAGAUAAAGGCCCUGGAGACAGGGAGAUAGAUAUAUCUCACACAGGUGGUGCAUGGUUGUCGUCAGCUCGUGCCGUGAGGUGUCGGCUUAAGUGCCAUAACGAGCGCAACCCCUAUCGACAGUUACUAACGGGUCAAGCCGAGGACUCUGUCGAGACUGCCGGCGCAAGCCGCGAGGAAGGUGGGGAUGACGUCAAAUCAGCACGGCCCUUACGUCCGGGGCGACACACGUGUUACAAUGGCAGGUACAGAAGGCAGCCAGUCAGCAAUGACGCGCGAAUCCCGAAAACCUGUCUCAGUUCGGAUUGGAGUCUGCAACCCGACUCCAUGAAGCUGGAUUCGCUAGUAAUCGCGCAUCAGCCAUGGCGCGGUGAAUACGUUCCCGGGCCUUGUACACACCGCCCGUCAAGCCAUGGAAGCCGGGAGUACCUGAAGCAUGCAACCGCAAGGAGCGUACGAAGGUAAUACCGGUAACUGGGGCU